rnacentral:rRNA from 1 species
CCUACGGGGGGCUGCAGUGGGGAAUAUUGGACAAUGGGGGCAACCCUGAUCCAGCCAUGCCGCGUGUGUGAAGAAGGCCCUCGGGUUGUAAAGCACUUUCAGUGAGGAAGAACGCCUGGUGGUUAAUACCCAUCAGGAAAGACAUCACUCACAGAAGAAGCACCGGCUAACUCCGUGCCAACAGCCGCGGUAAUACGGAGGGUGCGAGCGUUAAUCGGAAUUACUGGGCGUAAAGCGCGCGUAGGUGGCUUGAUAAGCCGGUUGUGAAAGCCCCGGGCUCAACCUGGGAACGGCAUCCGGAACUGUCAAGCUAGAGUGCAGGAGAGGAAGGUAGAAUUCCCGGUGUAGCGGUGAAAUGCGUAGAGAUCGGGAGGAAUACCAGUGGCGAAGGCGGCCUUCUGGACUGACACUGACACUGAGGUGCGAAAGCGUGGGUAGCAAACAGGAUUAGAUACCCGUGUAGUC